rnacentral:lncRNA from 1 species
UCUUUUUAGGGUGACACCGGUGGCAUAUGGAGGUUCCCAGGCUAGAAGUUGAAUCAGAGGUGUAGCCACUGGCCUAUGCCACCAUAGCCACAUCAAUGCCAGAUAUGAGCUGCAUCUGCACCCUACACCACAGCUCAUGGCAACUUGGGGUCCUUAACCCACUGAGCGAGGCCAGGGAUCUAACCUGCAUCCUAAGGAAUGCUAGUCAGAUUCUUUUCUGCUGAGCCAUGAUGGGAACUCCAAAAAAAUUAUUUUAAUUUCUUUUGCCAUAUUGGCUCAUCAGUGGAUGAAGGAUAGAGAAUUAGCCUAGCCUUUGUCUUUUAUCUUGUUAAUGAGCAGGAAUCUGGAACUCUAGGCAGGACAAGUGGACCUAUGGUGAGGCCCAGUAGCAGAGGCCACAAAAAGUCAAAGAUCUGACCCUGUGGUCAUCAAAGCUCUGACCACUGGUAUGGUGCCCAACACAUUGAACAUGCCAUAGGUAUCAUGUAAGGAUGCGGAUUCCUUUCCGUCAUAUGUGUGUAUAAAACCCAUGCAAAGUCUGCAGAAGAGGCAAAUGACCAAAUAUCCUAGGAUGAACAGUUCAACUUAUUGAUCCAUGCUAUAGAACCUCAUGAUAAAGAAAUUUGCAAUAGCUAAAGUGUUGAUAAUGAGCAGUGGGUACUGGUUACUAUGGCAGAAGCUGUUUGUUGCCAAACUUGUAGACAUUCUUUUUUUUCUUUCUUAACAAUAGGAAAUCUGAGCCUGCCUGAAUUGCAGAACGCCCAACUAUAUUUCUUGGUCUCUUCUGCAGUGAGUCUGCAUCAUAGGGAAGCAAGAUCCCACAGCUCACCGUGUGGCACAUUAACAAGUCUGGUGGUACAAGGAGCCAGAAACCUGCCACAUGCAGUUGUUUAGCCCCAGGUAAGCAAGGGGAGAGACCCAGGUUGAUGAUAACUGUCCCCCACAGGUGGUGUGGCCACAGGGCUGAGUGGCCUUAUAGGCACUGGCAACUGAGGUGCAGCAAAUAGCUGAGGGUCUGUGCAGAGGCCCAGAGGUAACGUGAGCAGGCACAAGACUCACACCUGACUUACUCCCUUUGCUGUUCUGCCCCAAAGCCAAUUUCCUGUCUCAAGUGUGCCUCCUUCUCUGACUACCUGAGACUUUUAACUCUUCUGUUGAAUCUUCUGUCCCUCAAGCCUCCACCUCUUUGCCACCCAAACUCUUCUUUUACUUUUCAGCUUUUCCCUCAUCCAUGGUGAUUAAAGGAUUCUUUGUUUACCUCUUUUAACAACUUUCACAUCAAAGUUAAUGGCCUUUGAUGGCACUGUAGCUUCUUGAGGAAGAUAAGGAUGCUUUCCUGGCAGGGUGUUGUGGCAAACACAAAGAUAGACUAGAAGGAAACAGUGAUUCCUACUAAAUUCAGGAAAACUCAAGCACAACCCACCCUUAAGUGAUAAUGGGGACUCACUGGAGACCAAUGGAUUUUUAUCCCAAGGUGUUCACUCGACUGCUUUGUGACACCAAUUCAUAUGCUUGGGCCAGCUGCUGAUGUCCAUUCUAAAGUAGAGCCUAUGCAGAUAAAAGCAGGGCUAUGAAGAAAGUCCAGGUUUUCCAAAAGCAUACAAAUGAAAGCCAAAUGAGGGCCAUAUUAGUCUUAGGCACUUAAACCUUCUUUGCAAGUACAGAGCAUACUCUCACUCAGUUAUCAAUCAUGUAAGUACCAGUAAAUACUCUGAGCAUACUCCGUGCCCCAUGGAGCUUAAUCUCUGGUGUAUGUGUGUUGGGAUACACCCAAUAAAACUAACAAUCAUAUGUUAGAGAGAAGUGCUAUGUAAAAAAAAGAAGUAUGGUUAGAGAAGUGUUCACAGGGAAGAUAAACAAAGGCUUGGAGGUGAGAGAGCAAGCCAUGUGGGCAGCUGGGGAAGGACAUCCAUGCAAAGAAACAAACACAAAGGUUCCAUAGUGGAAGUAUGGUUCACUUGAUUGAUGAGUGACAGGCCAGUAUGGUGGCAGCAGAACAAAGGGGAAAGGAAGAGAUCAGAGUUAGGGGAUGUGGAUGAUGCAGAUUUUGAAGGGCUUUGUGGGGCAUUGUAAAGGUUCUGGUGUUUUUUUCCAAAAUAGGAAGCAGCUAUGUUGAGACUAGAACAUGCAGGGCAAGAGAAGAAGUGACAUUUGCAGUGAUCCAGACAACAGAUGACGGAGGCUUAGACUAGCAUCAUAGCAGUGGGUGUGGUGAGAAGUAGGCAGAUUCUGCAUAUGUUUUGAGAGCAUGGCCAACAGGAUUUGUGGAGGAAGUGGGUGUAGGUUGUGAGAAAGAGGACUGGUUGACUCCAAGGUGUCUGAACUGAGCAGCUAGAAGGACAGAGUUGCCGUUCGUUGAGAUGGGAAAAACUGCAGGUGGAAGAGUUAUGGCAGUGGGGGAGGAAAGACAUCAAAAGUUCAGUUUUGAACAGGCUACACUGGCAAUCUAUAUUAGACAUCCAAGUAAAGAGUUUGAGGAGAUAAGUGGAAGGUCAGAGGAAAAGUCCCAGGCUUGAGAUAUAAAUUGGGAAUUGACCACAUUUGGGUGGUAGUUAGAACAUCUAGACUGAACAAGAUCACUAAGGAUUAAGUGUUGAUAGAAAAGGAAGCAGAGCCCAAGAAUUGAGCCCUGGGACAUUCUAACAUUUAGUUUGUUCCCAAAUGAGAAGUUUCAGCAUCCCUUGGGGACUUGUUAGAUGUGCAGAUUCUCAGGCCCCACCCCAGACAUCCUGAAAUUCAGCACUGUGGUUUAACAAGCCCUCCAGGGGCUUCUGAUCAUGCUAUAGUUUAACCACCACCGGCUUAGAAGCUGAGGAGGAAAAACUACUUAAAGUGCCUGAGAAGGAGUGGCCAGUCAAGGAGGAAAACCAGUGUUUCCAGGAGGGAGUAGUCAUUCUGUCACCUACUGUGGAUAGGUAAAGUGAGAGGACUAGGGGGGAGUGAGAACUACCCACUGAUUGGGUAACAAAAGAAAGGGGAUUUUGCAGUGAAGGUUAACAAAAGGAAGGAUGGUAUUCCCAGGCGUUCAGACAUAUCAACUGGUGGUACCUUUCACACACAUUUUUGGAAAGAAACUGCCCACUCUGUAUCUCCUGCUGAUGGGGAGGGGGUUCCCUCCAGCUGUUCUUUGAGCUGUCAGGGCUGUGUCUCUGUCACAUGCCCCUUCCCCCAGCCCUAGUUGAUUAGGAGCCAACCAAUUAGAAGAUAAGCAUAGCUAUCUGUAUAUCAGAAACCUAGUAUAAUAGUGGUUUAUAUAAAAUAGAAGAGUUUAUAUCUCUUCACAUUAAAGCCCCAAGCUCUGUUCCACCAAACUGUCAGGAGCUCAGUUCUUUCUGUCUGAUUGGUUUGCCAUCCUUAUCCACACCAUCCAUGAUGACUCGCCUGUGUUCCAGCCAGCAUGGAGGAGGUUUCUUUUUCCUUUUAAGAAUCGCUUUGCUCUCAUCCCCCUGGCAAGACGCAAGGAUGACAAAAAAUGUCGUUUUUACUCCAGACAGCCUUAGGCCUAGCUAAAAGUUGGGAUUCUAUUAGAGAAAGGACAAACGGACAUUGUGGCUUGCACCCAAGCAGGGACAGUUAGGCUAAUUUGAUUUUCUCUCUUGGAAACUUGAACUGGAUAGAAAAUUAGCAACUUAAUUGUGGAUAGAUAAGUGAGAACAUCAGCCUGAACACCCCGACUCCCAGCCAACUUUUCCUAGAGCUCCUCAGGAGUUUGUAAGACUAUGAAAGUUCUGGGCACCUUGAGGUCAGUGGUACUGACCUGCUAUUAACUACUAGCCUCUGGCGCCCCAGACUGAGAUGCUUUCCAGGACUGAGUCUACUUUUCCUUAUUCCGAGGUGCAGCCUGGAGCAAACAUUCCCGUUUACUUGGGGGUAAUCUCUGUCCCCCCGACAACGGAUGGUGGAGACUCAGCUGAAGAGAAGCGACGGGA